rnacentral:rRNA from 1 species
UCGCGUCUGCUUUGGCAUUGAUAAACCUGUCUAUGCCCUGGGCGCGCUUGACGGCGUUCGCUUACAGUGGUCCCACAGAGGACGAACCGUAACC